rnacentral:rRNA from 1 species
UGCAAGUCGAACGAUGAUCCCUGGCUUGCUGGGGGGAUUAGUGGCGAACGGGUGAGUAACACGUGAGUAACCUGCCCUUGACUCUGGGAUAAGCCUGGGAAACUGGGUCUAAUACCGGAUAUGACUUCUCAUCGCAUGGUGGGGGGUGGAAAGCUUUUGUGGUUUUGGAUGGACUCGCGGCCUAUCAGCUUGUUGGUGGGGUAAUGGCCUACCAAGGCGACGACGGGUAGCCGGCCUGAGAGGGUGACCGGCCACACUGGGACUGAGACACGGCCCAGACUCCUACGGGAGGCAGCAGUGGGGAAUAUUGCACAAUGGGCGCAAGCCUGAUGCAGCGACGCCGCGUGAGGGAUGACGGCCUUCGGGUUGUAAACCUCUUUCAGUAGGGAAGAAGCCCCUUUUUGGGGGUGACGGUACUUGCAGAAGAAGCGCCGGCUAACUACGUGCCAGCAGCCGCGGUAAUACGUAGGGCGCAAGCGUUAUCCGGAAUUAUUGGGCGUAAAGAGCUCGUAGGCGGUUUGUCGCGUCUGCUGUGAAAGACCGGGGCUCAACUCCGGUUCUGCAGUGGGUACGGGCAGACUAGAGUGCAGUAGGGGAGACUGGAAUUCCUGGUGUAGCGGUGAAAUGCGCAGAUAUCAGGAGGAACACCGAUGGCGAAGGCAGGUCUCUGGGCUGUAACUGACGCUGAGGAGCGAAAGCAUGGGGAGCGAACAGGAUUAGAUACCCUGGUAGUCCAUGCCGUAAACGUUGGGCACUAGGUGUGGGGGACAUUCCACGUUUUCCGCGCCGUAGCUAACGCAUUAAGU